rnacentral:rRNA from 1 species
UACGUAGGGUGCAAGCGUUGUCCGGAAUUAUUGGGCGUAAAGAGCUCGUAGGCGGUCUGUCGCGUCGGCUGUGAAAACUCGGGGCUCAACUCCGAGCUUGCAGUCGAUACGGGCAGGCUAGAGUUCGGCAGGGGAGACUGGAAUUCCUGGUGUAGCGGUGAAAUGCGCAGAUAUCAGGAGGAACACCGGUGGCGAAGGCGGAUCUCUGGGCAACAACUGACGCUGAGGAGCGAAAGCGUGGGGAGCGAACAGG